CAAGAAAUUCGUGUAUGAUCUGGUGCCAGCGCAGCGGAGGGGGGACCUGUACUUCGUGUCCACAUUCUUGAAGAGGUACCACAAGUUUGCUACCACCGACCAAGUCCUCGACCUGCUCUUUGAAAGAUACAGAAAGUUUGAAGCAGGACAAGAGGAGGAUGACCGCUGCAAGGAGGCCCUCUGCUCCAUCCUGCAAACCUGGCUGCAUCGUUACCCUGGGCAUUUCCAUCAGCCCAAUGACCUGAGCUGCCUCAAGAAGCUGGUGGCUUAUG